UAAAGGAGUGCGCGGUUUUUCCCGUGAUGUCAAAAGAUCAGCUGGUCUUGGGGAUUCACAGAAUCCCAAUAUAUUCGCAUGACGACAUUAGAUAUACAAAUGGUGAAUCCCUCAUCUCGCCCACAGAAGCCAGUUUUCAUUACUAUUUACUACUUGACCAUAGGAUGACGACUAAGAAAAGAGGCCUAGCUAUUUUAUACGCAGUGCACUAGCUAGGCUUAUUUUUCACCCCAACCGCAAGCAUCAGUGCAUUCUGUCUGACAUGCAUUCUUAUGAUCAUGCUUACAGGAAUUUCAUUUUUCUGCAAGAUACAUUUUCUCCCAACAAUGAUGGCAGUUUUACAGUUUAGUCUUCUGAUGUUAUUUCUUGUACCACAUGUCACAGAAAUGUCUGCAACGACCCCACUUGUCUCCCCAAAAGGAGUUUGUAUAUCACCUAGCAGUAGGGCAACCUUGAGAUUUCAGUGGAAAGCUGUAAAUGCAGACCCCAAUGAUGAGACACUCCAGGUUACCUGCUAUCUGCAGAAUGGAACAGCAAUUGUGAUGAAAGAACCCCAAGUGCAAAGCAUUAAGUACUGCACCACACAGGGAUCAUGGGUGUUGGAAACGACUCUCACAGUGCAGGAUGUAACUGCCAACAUGUUCAGUUUCUGUAAUUGCUCUGUGAUGAAAAAUGGUGAAGUGCUUGAAAAAAAGCCAAGCAGGGAGGCUAUGUCCAAGGCAAAUAUUUGGACCCGCAAUGACUCCAUGCUUUUGCUGUCACAAGAGGACGUGUUGAUUACCCCAGGCAAAGAGUUAGACAUAAAAUUUGACUUGAAGUGUGAUGAUGGGGGAUGGUUUGAGGUCAUCAAAAUCUACGACGAUGGACACAGGAAACAUUUAGAGUUCAAGUUCGAAGGCAACAAUCAAGGUCAGGAGCCUUUCAUCCUGAUAAGAGAUGGACUGCUACCACUGCUUCGCUUUCCAGCCCUAAGAUGCAGUGAUGCUGGUCGCUACCUUAUCAUUUACUGGGCCAGCAGGAAUUUCGUACGGGUUGAGACACAACUGGAACUGCGAGUACAUGCUAAUGAGUCAACCUGCCCCAAGCCUACUGCCAUCGCAGGAAUGUUCACAGGAGCAGAUCUCCUUAACAAUUGAAGGAAGAGUUGACCAUUUGCAGCCAUUCUGAAAAGAUUUAACCAAGUUACCGAGUAAACAAAGAGGAACCUGAGAAGUGUGAUACAUUGUUGAGACAGCAAGGGCCUAAUCCUGACUCGGAGCAAACUUAACACAUCGCUGC
rnacentral:misc_RNA from 1 species